rnacentral:sRNA from 1 species
UGAACACACAAUGUCAUGUUAAUUACAGGUCAUAUCAUCAGUCAAGUACAUGUUCUGUGAAUUAAUAGGUAUUCUUCUGGCAUAUAUGUUAUCCAUGGAUUAUUUACAGACAAUGGUCCUAUCAAUACAAUUUGAUAUCAGAUGUCUUUCUUAGAUGAGCAUUUGAUCUCUGUGGAUCAACUCAACC